GGCUCAGGACGAACGCUGGCGGCGUGCCUAAUACAUGCAAGUCGAACGGUCUUUCUAUGGAAGCUUGCUUCCACUGAGAAGAUAGUGGCGAACGGGUGAGUAACACGUGGGUAACCUGCCCAUAAGAGGGGGAUAACAUCCGGAAACGGGUGCUAAUACCGCAUAGUUUUCUUGAUUGCAUGAUUGAGAAAGGAAAGACGGCCUUUGUGCUGUCGCUUAUGGAUGGACCCGCGGCGUAUUAGUUAGUUGGUGAGGUAACGGCUCACCAAGACGAUGAUACGUAGCCGACCUGAGAGGUGAUCGGCCACAUUGGGACUGAGACACGGCCCAAACUCCUACGGGAGGCAGCAGUAGGGAAUCUUCCGCAAUGGACGAAAGUCUGACGGAGCAACGCCGCGUGAGUGAAAGAAGGUUUUCGGAUCGUAAAACUCUGUUGUCAGAGAAGAACAAGUUGGAGAGUAACUGCUCCAGCCUUGACGGUAUCUGACCAGAAAGCCACGGCUAACUACGUGCCAGCCGCCGC
rnacentral:rRNA from 1 species